CUACCUCUUCUGUAGCAACUCCCCCAGCAUGCAGCUGAGGGCCAAUGGCAAGCAGCGAGUAAAAGAUACUCCACAGGUCACCCACAACUCUUCUCCAUGAAGGCCUCUGGUCACACCAUGUCUGGAGGAACGAGCUCUAGUACAGCAAGUAUACGAAGAGCAAAGAGCGGCUCACGGAAGAGUAAGUGCGCACUCCUUCCACGGUAUUAGCUUGCCCCUUUGUGUGAAGAAAGCUACCUGUGCUGAAUAAUGCAUUCACUAGAGCUUAGUCCACAGGCCUGGGAGAUGUUUCCAUCCCAGCAGAAUAAGAUGGUGGGAUUCCCUUUCCUCACGAAGAGGGAUGACAGGAUGUGAAGGAAGAAAAACGGCUCAAGGACCACAGCCAGCCAAGCAAACCCUACUACGUGGUGCAAAAUGGAAAUGUGAGGCACUUGUUAUAUAUAAUUUUAAAGCCCAAGAGGAUGAUAACCUAGCAUUAAACAGAACCUGGAGGUG